GUUAAAUAUAACAACAACUUGCGUUUCAGAAAACUCGGAAUGCUUAUUAGCAGGUUCAAAGAUAAUUUUUGUUAAGUCAAUCUUUCAGCGCCACUUCUGAAUUCGGAGGUAGCGGAUAUUAACGUAAUAACGUUUAAACAACGGGGCCGCCUAACGCGCAUGGCUAGUUAGCGGUAAACGUGCAUCUACAUGGGUCACUUCGUCACUCCGGCAGUAAGUUUCUCAAGCAAAGUAAUAAUAAUCAUGGGGUGACCAAAGUAAUGCCACCGCUUGCAUAGCUGCCAAUCUUAGUAAUUAUGUGUAAAUUAUGUGUGUAAAAAUUUCAG
ensembl:lncRNA